rnacentral:rRNA from 1 species
UUGAACGCUGGCGGCGUGCCUAACACAUGCAAGUCGAGCGGCAGCGCGGGAGCAAUCCUGGCGGCGAGCGGCGGACGGGUGAGUAACGCUUGGGAAUCUGCCUAUUAGUGGGGGACAACCCGGGGAAACUCGGGCUAAUACCGCAUACGCACUACGGUGGAAAGCCGGGGACCGCAAGGCCUGGCGCUAACAGAUGAGCCCAAGUCGGAUUAGCUAGUUGGUAGGGUAACGGCCUACCAAGGCGACGAUCCGUAACUGGUCUGAGAGGACGACCAGUCACACCGGAACUGAGACACGGUCCGGACUCCUACGGGAGGCAGCAGUGGGGAAUAUUGGACAAUGGGGGGAAACCUCG